rnacentral:rRNA from 1 species
UACGUAGGUCCCGAGCGUUGUCCGGAAUUACUGGGUGUAAAGGGCGCGUAGGCGGCGUGUCAAGUCAGGCGUGAAAGCCCCGGGCUCAACCUGGGAACCGCGCUUGAGACUGGCAUGCUCGAGUUCGGGAGAGGAUGGUGGAAUUCCCAGUGUAGAGGUGAAAUUCGUAGAUAUUGGGAAGAACACCGAUGGCGAAGGCAGCCAUCUGGACCGACACUGACGCUGAGGCGCGAAAGCGUGGGGAGCAAACAGG